rnacentral:rRNA from 1 species
AACGCGAAGAACCUUACCUGGCCUUGACAUGCAUCUCUAAGCUGGUGAAAGCCAGUGAGUCCCGAAAGGGACAAUUUGCACAGGUGCUGCAUGGCUGUCGUCAGCUCGUGUCGUGAGAUGUUGGGUUAAGUCCCGCAACGAGCGCAACCCUUAUCUCCAGUUGCCAUCAUUCAGUUGGGCACUCUGGCGAAACCGCCUCGGAUAACGGGGAGGAAGGUGGGGAUGACGCCAAGUCCUCAUGGCCUUUAUGUCCAGGGCUACACACGUGCUACAAUGGCCGGUAUAAACCGCUGCAAACCCGCGAGGGGGAGCUAAUCGGAAAAAGCCGGCCUCAGUUCGGAUCGCAGUCUGCAACUCGACUGCGUGAAGCUGGAAUCGCUAGUAAUCGCAGAUCAGAAUGCUGCGGUGAAUACGUUCCCGGGCCUUGUACACACCGAGACGAC